rnacentral:rRNA from 1 species
CUGCUGCCUCCCGUAGGGGUCUGGGCCGUGUCUCAGUCCCAGUGUGGGGGGCCUUCCUCUCAGAACCCCUACGCAUCGUCGCCACGGUGGGCCGUCACCCCGCCGUCUAGCUAAUGCGCCGCAUGCCCAUCCGCCACCGGAUCGCUCCUUUGGCCACCGGAGGAUGCCCUCCGGUGGCGUCACGGGGUAUUAGGCCGCGUUUCCGCGGGUUAUCCCCCUGUGGCGGCCAGGUUGCAUACGUGUUACUCACCCGUGCGCCGGUCGCCGGCGGGCG